GACGAACGCUGGCGGCGUGCUUAACACAUGCAAGUCGAACGGAGAAUUUAUUUCGGUAAAUUCUUAGUGGCGAACGGGUGAGUAACGCGUGGGCAACCUGCCCUUCAGAUGGGGACAACAUCCCGAAAGGGGUGCUAAUACCGAAUACGAUCACGCUGCCGCAUGGCGGUGUGAUGAAAGAUGGCCUCUAUAUAUAAGCUAUCGCUGAAGGAUGGGCCUGCGUCUGAUUAGCUAGUUGGUGGGGUAACGGCCUACCAAGGCGAUGAUCAGUAGCCGGUCUGGGAGGAUGAACGGCCACAUUGGGACUGAGACACGGCCCAAACUCCUACGGGAGGCAGCAGUGGGGAAUAUUCCGCAAUGGACGAAAGUCUGACGGAGCAACGCCGCGUGAGUGAGGAAGGUUUUCGGACUGUAAAACUCUGUUGUUUAGGACGAAAGUGCCUGUUGCAAACAGUUGCAGGUAUUGACGGUACUGAACGAGGAAGCCACGGCUAACUACGUGCCAGCAGCCGCAGUAAUAC
rnacentral:rRNA from 1 species